rnacentral:rRNA from 1 species
AAACCUCUUUUCUCAGGGAAGAAGAACUGACGGUACCUGAGGAAUAAGCAUCGGCUAACUCCGUGCCAGCAGCCGCGGUAAUACGGAGGAUGCAAGCGUUAUCCGGAAUUAUUGGGCGUAAAGCGUCCGUAGGUGGUGAUGUGUGUCUAUUGUCAAAGGCUCUGGCUUAACCAGAGACAGGCAGUAGAAACUGCAGAACUAGAGUGCAUUCGGGGCAGGGGGAAUCCUGGUGUAGCGGUGAAAUGCGUAGAGUUUCAGGAAGAACACCGGUGGCGAAAGCGCCCUGCUAGGCUGUCACUGACACUGAGGGACGAAAGCUAGGGGAGCGAAUGGGAUUAGAUACCCCAGUAGUCCCUAGCCCGUAAACGAUGGGAUACUAGGCGUUGCGUGUAUCGACCCCAUGCAGUGCCGUAGCUAACGCGUUAAGUAUCCCGCCUGGGGAGUACGCACGCAAGUGUGAAACUCAAAGGAAUUGACGGGGGCCCGCACAAGCGGUGGAGUAUGUGGUUUAAUUCGAUGCAACGCGAAGAACCUUACCAGGGCUUGACAUGUCCGGAAUCUUCUGGAAACAGAAGAGUGCCUGCGGGAACCGGAACACAGGUGGUGCAUGGCUGUCGUCAGCUCGUGUCGUGAGAUGUUGGGUUAAGUCCCGCAACGAGCGCAACCCUCGUUCUGAGUUGCCAGCACAAAGUUGGGCACUCUAGAGAGACUGCCGGUGACAAA